rnacentral:lncRNA from 1 species
GAUGCAGUGCAAGCAUGCCAGCCGCUCCACAGUUGUUUGCUCUGCACCAGUCUGCCUCCCACAGUCCACAUAGCCUCUUGCUGGAACCUCCCAUCAUGCUUAUGUGCGACGCAGGUCUCCCUCAGCCCUUCCGGGUUCACGCAUUUGGGCCUAACCCCUCUUCAGCCCUUUCAUCCUGGUGCCCUGACUCUUGCCUCCAACUCCAAGAUGGCUGCCGGCCACCAGCGUGGUCCCGGGGAACCAACCGCGUUUCCCCACCAUUAGACUGUGAGCUCCUUCGGAGGGACCUUGGCCACCGUAGGGUUGAAUCCCAGCAUUAUUCACUGCCUGAUGCCUGGCUGGCUACCAACAUGUGUUGUUGUUGUUGUUUCUUAAAAUAAAUAAACAUGCAGAUGGAGAACGCCC